rnacentral:rRNA from 1 species
AGGGUUCGAUUCUGGCUCAGGAUGAACGCUAGCUACAGGCUUAACACAUGCAAGUCGAGGGGCAUCAUGACGAUAGCUUGCUAUGUGAUGGCGACCGGCGCACGGGUGAGUAACGCGUAUCCAACCUUCCCCUUAGUAGGGCAUAGCCCGGCGAAAGUCGGAUUAAUACCCUAUGUUAUUCGUAGAGGACAUCUGAAAUGAAUCAAAGAUUUAUCGCUAAGGGAUGGGGAUGCGUCCGAUUAGGUAGUCGGCGGGGUAACGGCCCACCGAGCCUUCGAUCGGUAGGGGUUCUGAGAGGAAGGUCCCCCACACUGGUACUGAGACACGGACCAGACUCCUACGGGAGGCAGCAGUGAGGAAUAUUGGUCAAUGGGCGUAAGCCUGAACCAGCCAAGUAGCGUGCAGGAUGACGGCCCUAUGGGUUGUAAACUGCUUUUAUACGGGGAUAAAGUGAGGGACGUGUCCCUUAUUGUAGGUACCGUAUGAAUAAGGACCGGCUAAUUCCGUGCCAGCCGCUGC